rnacentral:snRNA from 1 species
ACCACACGCUUUAGGAAA